rnacentral:rRNA from 1 species
AUGGGGAAACCGAGGCGAGAAAUUAUGUUCGACACGAUUGACAUAAGCAACAUUGCAUGCCGGGACAGGGCUGGAGAGCGCGGCACUGAUAUCGCAGACACCAUGAAACUGUUUGCCGAUAUGGAGAGGCAGAGGCCGGGAUUCUACCAUGUGGAAGAGACAGAGAACAAUGUAGUGCGCAACCUUUUCUGGACAGACUCCUUGUGUAAGAUGAAUUAUGAUCUAUAUGGAGAUUUCGUGUCUUUUGACACGACAUUCUCUACGAAUAUAUAUGGCUUGCCAUUUGCACCAAUUAUAGGUGUCGACAACCACGGGUCGACCGUCCUGUUUGGAGUAGGCCUUUUGAAGGAUGAGAAAAUAGGGUCAUUCAAGUGGCUCCUAAGCACGUUUGUCGAGGCAAUGGGAGGUAAAGAGCCGAAAUACAUAAUAACAAACCAGGACCACACGAUGAAGACUACAAUAAAGGAAGCUCUUCCGAGAACGAGGUACAGGUCCUGCUGGUGGCAUAUUAGGAAGAACCUGAAGGAAAAUAACGCAGCAGUGUUUGCGCAGCACCCCGAGAUGUCUGAUGAUAUAUUUCGAAUCGUCAAAAACUCACUAGAUCAAGACGAGUUUGAGCGUGCCUGGAAAGCAGCAAUUUCUGUGCACAAGGCGGAAGGCAACAAACACCUGAACACGGUAUGGGAACUCCGAAAUUUUUGGGUGCCUGCCUACUUCAAGGACUGCUUCUAUCCUUUCUCGUCAACAACCACUCGCAGUGAGAGCACGAAUUCGAUGUGGAAGAAUUACGUCGACCACAAGGACACUAUAAAAAGGUUUGUUGAUGCGUAUCACAUGAUUCAGCAAAAUUGCCUCCCCACACUUGACAAGAAAAGACACCGAAUAGAAGAGAAGGCGCCAUCACUAGAGACGGGUUUUCCGAUUGAAAGACAAGCAAGUCAAGUAUACACGAAUGAAAUUUUCAGGGAAUUCCAGCUGGAGCUACGGAACUGGACUUACUUCAAGUGCUCUGACCUGGCAAAGGGGAGGCAAAAAGAGAAGGCAUACAGUGUGCUUCAUGAGUGUAUGGUAGAUAUGAAAAUAAAAGUCAUGGCGGCACUUGCUGAGGAAACAGACACAGGCAUUCUUGCCGAAACUCUCAAGAACCCUCCCAUGAGUGGCUCAAAGGGCACGAAAAAAGGAGAUCAAAUCAAAGCUGGUUCUGAGAAGAAAGGAAAAGGCAACAAAGCCGCAUCCAAGUGCGGCCGUUGUAGAGUAAAGGGUCACAGGAAAACAAACUGCCCGGAUAACCCAGAAGUCCAGGAGAGGGUGAGGAUUGAAGAGGAGAAGAGGAAAUCGCAGCAGGAGAAGAGGGCAAGGUCAAUGAAAUGGCCGACAACACUGACAACACCAUCGAGGACAUCAAACGGCUCAGGACAAUGCACUCCAAGCCCAGGAGGAAGACGUGAGACGCCAGCAACUCCAACGACCCCACUCACAGCAGGGAGCAUUUACCAAAGUCUUGCAUCUACGCCAGAAUCGAUCAUCACACAAGCCAGGCACAUAGAAUGCAUGCAGGGAAGCCCGGAACAAGGCACGGAAUCUGCGCAGUCCAUUUUCAGAAAGGAAAGGUCUUAG